GAAAUUAAGGGUGCAGCAAGUUGGAAAAGCUGCUCGAGCAUAAUGCAUUUUUUAAAGAAUUCUGCCGUUGAUGAUGUCACUUCUUUGUUUACUUUUGUCAAUGUCAUAUUUGUUACAAGAUGAAACCAAAAUAUACCCAGGUCCGGCUAAAUAAGGAGAAAAAAAGGUUCCAGGAGGAGGGAGGAGACAAUGUGAGAGAAAGUUCACAUUUAGCUGGUGAGGAUUUUAAAGAAUUUCGAAGACUAUUAGCUAGCUAGACAAUCUAACUUAAUACAGUAGCUAGAUGUCUAUUUUGACAUCUAUCUCUUCUGGCAUUUAAAUCUCUUUAUCCAGCAUUCCCAGCCCCCAGUCUUGCAGGAGAAGGGGCUAUGCCCCUUCCUCAGAAUGGUCAGAUCACUGCCCUCCCCCCACCAGGUCUCAGUAGAAAGUACCCCCUACCUCAACCCACUCUCUCAGCCAAGACCAAGAUUUGGAUGCCAGUGCAAGAGACCUGGAAAGGAGAACCUUAUGACAAGCCUUUGCUCAAAUACACAAUAGCCCUCCCUAUUGGCAGGCGCCACUGUAGACCUCGUCCAAUAAAACGACCCGUCCCCAACCCUUCCCCCAACCUGACUAAUAAAAGAGUGAAGUUUAAACAUCCCGAGGCCACCCUCCGUUUUAUCCCAGUGAGGCCAGACUUAGAGCAGCUCACCAGGCAGAGAACCCUCCCUGGUGGUCAGUUGGUUAGACCUGUGACACCCAGACCACCAUCACGCAAGCAGCCCCCCUCUGCAGACCAUAGCCCCCUAGACAGUAUCCACUCACACAGAUCCCUUGCUAAGGUGCAGGCUGCUGGAGGUGAGGACAGGGGAGGCGGAGGAGAUGGUGCCUCCCUAUCCCGCUCUGUCAGGGAUUUGCAAUUGCUUAGCUCCAGCUCCGACGACGAGGAUUCUGAGUCUCCUUCUGAGUCCCAGUUCCGAUGCACCACUCCGGCCUACCUUACCCGCCGCUACCAGAACAGUUUGAAAUGGUACCAGGCGGUGCGCAGCGAGAAGAAGACCAAACAUCACAAGGAGAGGCUUGACCAGCUUUGCUAUAAGGAGGCAUCAGAAGAGUCUAAUGCUGAAAGAGGCCCCUCGGGUGUCCAGGCGAGACACACCGCCCCUCUGGGUGCUGGGGAGGGGAGGUCUGUCUGUAAACCCUACCAGGGAGGAAAGAGGAGAAGGAGUCCGCCGUCAGAGAAAGGUUGCUUACCCCCAGCCAGGUGAGGAGAUGGGACCGCCGGUCAUGGCGCCGACAGCUAGACAGCAGUGCCUCGGACUCCCCAGCAUCUGAUGGCAGUGUCAUGCUCAGCCCACUCUAUACCCACUCCCCCUUCCUCUCUCCCACAGCUACCAGCACUCCUCCCCACCCUGCUCCUCUUUCUAACACAUCUCCCAACAUCCCAAUAUUUUCCCCUUCCUUCUCUCUCAGUACGCCUUCCAGUUGUCCUAGCACGCCACUUUACCCCCACUCUUUCACCUCCAGUGCCCCUGGCACCCCAUUACGAAGUCAGGUGACAUCUUCCAGUGCCCCUUGUACCCCAUUACGAAGUCAGGUGACAUCUUCCAGUGCCCCUUGCACCCCAUUACGAAGUCAGGUGACAUCUUCCAGUGCCCCUGGCACCCCAUUACGAAGUCAGGUGACAUCUUCCAGUGCCCCUGGCACCCCAUUACGAAGUCAGGUGACAUCUUCCAGUGCCCCUGGCACCCUACAACAUGGUACCUUUCACAGGGAGUCAUCGUUCCACACCAGGAGUAACAUCUCAGGAAGUAGGACUACAUGUUGUGGGCUGGAGAGCUGUCUACCAUUAGCUAAAGGGACAGUAACCAGUUCCAACCCUGAAGACUCAGUAACAAGCCCUAAAGCUAGAUGCCAAGCGGACAACACUCCAUACCCAGACAUGUUCAAUAUUAAAGGAGAUACAGCGAAGAAAGAUGAUUCUGAGAUGAGAAGGUGCAGUGAAAUGAAGAAGACUUCAACACCAAAGGAAAUGUCUGAAAAAUGUUCUCCUGCCAGAGCUAAGACUUCCAUAUCAUCACAUGCCAGUCCCACUCUGAAAGAAUCUAAGAUUCCACAAGCUGACCCACGACUACGAAAAUCAAUGAAAUCAUCAGCCUCACCUGAUGUUUCUUCAACUGAGCUCGACCGUGGGACGCCCAUCCCAGGGAGUAAGCUAACACUCACCUCCAUCUUUUCCUACCCUUAUGAUAUACCACAGCUCAAAAGCAGUCCACUUAAAAGCCCUGAGAAGUCAUCUCCUCAAUCAACUACAGCACACCAGAAGCACAAGUCUCAAGAUAAGACAAGUCCUAAGAAAAGUCCUAAAACCAAGACCUCUGAUUCACCUAAAUUAACAUCUGCACCUUCUUUGUCAGAGAAGCAAACAGACAAAACUGAGAGUAAUUUCAAGAAACCAUCAAAACCUCAGAGUGUUGUUAGUAGUAAGGCAGACUCUGCAGUGUCACAACAUGUUCUAUCCACAAAAACUACAAAAAAAAGUGCUGGAGGGAGCCGGCCAACCAUCAAGACUUCUCCUUGUGACCCUAGUCUUAAAACUAAAUGUUCUGCUAACAAUGCUUGUGUGCCAAAACCAAAGGAGGAGAGUGAGAGACCUCCCCUUCCUAGCCUUAGAAGAUUGAAGCAGGUAUUUACAGGCCUUUAUCAGCAGAGGACUGUGGUGGCUAAACCCUCCAGCGAAUUGAAUGGGGUGCCGACUGACACACAUAGGCUGUUUAAGACCCCUUCAACCAAGACCUCCUCCCCUAAGACCCACUCCCCCAAGACUCCCUCAUCCAAGACCAGCUCCCCCAAGACUCCCUCAUCCAAGACCAGCUCCCCCAAGACUCCCUCAUCCAAGACCACCUCCCCCAAGACACACUCACUCAAAACCCCCUCUCCCAAGACCCACUCCCCCAAGAAGCCUCAGACUAGAGUUCUUCACAGAUUCACCCAGGAUCCGAGGAUCCGAGAUCCGAUCCAGGAUCAGAGCCCAUCUAUGCAGCCCACCUCCAGCACCUCCAGCAACAACCCAGAAGGGAGACCUGCAGCCUCAACCUCAAUUCUGGGCAGGAGUUUAGAGCUAAAAAUUAGUCAAGGUUUCCAGAAACCAGACACACCCAGGCCAAAGAGCUACUCCCCCAAGAGCAAACCAACAGGGAUUUCACUGAACUAUAGGGGUACUGGUACUCCUUUCCGGGGAAGUGAGGGGAAUCUAACAACUACCCCCACUUCUAGGGGCCUGGCAAUCCCCCAUGACUGUCCAUCUCAGACCAGUUCUCUGAGUAAAGCCUCAUAUUCUGCCAAAUUACCAUGGGAUGGAAAGAGGGACAGAGAGAGAGAGAGGGACAGGGAGAGAGAGAGGGACAGGAAGAGAUGGGAGAGAGAGAGGGAGAGAUGGGAGAGGGAAAGGUGUCCACCCUCACCGAGACACCCUCACCCAGCACGUGGCCCAAUUCCACAGCCGAGCCGGGAGGAUCAUCCUAAAGAAUGCUUUAGAAAGAAAGACAAAACUACUACAGGACAGGAGGACUUUAGAACUAAAGUCAAAAUACCAUGGGCACCAACUCAAAAACCCUCUAGCUCUCACAAGAGUUGGCCAAGUGUACCCUCACCCUGCCAGAAUCCUCCACCUGCGAGAAAUGGCCCCCAGUCAUACUCCAAAAAUAUCAAAGGCGCGCACUCACCCUCAGCUCAGACUAAAUCUAAAGUACCAGGGGAGAAGACAGACUCUCAGCACAUCAGCUCCCCCCCUACAACACAGAAGGUCCCUCAGGAGUCAGUGUCCCCUCCCCUGUCCCCCCGCUUCAGACCCGGCCCCAGCAGUCCGGAGCUCAUCCAUGCCAUUGUGAGUGCCAUGGGCUAUCUGCUUGGUGUGCCACCCACCUCCAUCCCUGGCCUCUGCCCUUCACCUGAAGACCCUGGUACGUCCUCCACCACUGACCCAUCAGCUUUUAACUCAGAACCCAUCCAGCCCCCCUGGACUGAAGAACUACGACUCAUCCGGCAAAGACUCAGUGAGCCUGGCUUAGGGCUCAACCCCCAGCCUCCAGACCACACCCAACCAGCCUCCAGACCACACCCAACCAGCCUCCAGACCACACCCAACCAGCCUCCAGUCCACACCCAACCAGCCUCCAGACCACACCCAACCAGCCUCCAGAACACACCCAACCAGCCUCCAGACCACACCCAACCAGCCUCCAGACCACACCCAACCAGCCUCCAGACCAAAGGACACACACACACAGGACAGAGGGAAGAGAGGCCUGCACAAUCAAUGGCACCAUCACUGAGAAAGAAUACAAAGAUGUGAGAAGAGAUAGGAUGAAGAUGAGGAUACUGUAGCAUGCUACACUGCAGAGCUGCAAGGAGUCAGAGAGCAGCUGUUCAGACAGGACUUGACUGACUGACUGGUGGAAUCAGAAGAUGUUCACGUUAACAGGGUGAACAUCUGCUCAUACACCUGGGUUGUGUUUCUAACUCUUUCUCUGGAUAUAAUUAUCUAAUAAAUACCGAGUCAAAUACUUUAUGUACAUAUUCAUUUGCUGUAAGGUACUGGCAGUUCAGCUCUUUGAAUUGAUGAUUCCAAUGCUUGUGAUACUGGUUUAAUUUUUAGAUGGAUUUGAUCUUGCUUUCAUUUUGACAAGCAGUUAGUUGAAAAAUACAGGAAGCUGGGCAAGCUGAAGGUUGCACAUGUGACCACAGGAGGGCAGUCUCAUCCCAACCUAAUGCAAAUCCUAGUCAUAAUGAAGGGAGAAAUGAAAUCUUAAUGUACAGAUUGUCAAAUUGUCAAAACAAAUGUACAGAGCACUGUGCUUCUGAAUCAUUUCUAUGUGGAUAUUGAACAAAAAUACAACUUUUGAGUUAUGGAGGAGCCUAAAUCUAUAAGACAUUUUGUUUAGGUUUGUUUGGAUGAUAAGUUAACAUGACAAGCUGAUAUGCUUAGCCUACAGCACAGACAAACUCUUGUCUGAGGUUUCUUUAUUAACCAUUCAGUCACGAUAUUAACCAUCCAGUCACAAUAUUAACCAUCCAGUCACAAUAUUAACCAUCCAGUCACAAUAUUAACCAUCCAGUCAUGAUAUUAACCAUUCAGUCAUGAUAUUAACCAUCCAGUCAUGAUAUUAACCAUUCAGUCAUGAUAUUAACCAUCCAGUCAUGAUAUUAACCAUUCAGUCAUGAGCCAACUACAUUUCCUCAUGUCAGAUAGUGCAACGAC
ensembl:lncRNA